UACGUAGGGCGCGAGCGUUGUCCGGAAUUAUUGGGCGUAAAGAGCUCGUAGGCGGUUUGUCGCGUCGAAUGUGAAAACCCGGGGCUCAACCCCGGGCCUGCAUUCGAUACGGGCAUCACUGGAGUUCGGCAGGGGAGACUGGAAUUCCUGGUGUAGCGGUGAAAUGCGCAGAUAUCAGGAGGAACACCGGUGGCGAAGGCGGGUCUCUGGGCCGAUACUGACGCUGAGGAGCGAAAGCGUGGGGAGCGAACAGG
rnacentral:rRNA from 1 species